CAUGCAGUCGAGCGGUAGCACAGAGAGCUUGCUCUCGGGUGACGAGCGGCGGACGGGUGAGUAAUGUCUGGGAAACUGCCUGAUGGAGGGGGAUAACUACUGGAAACGGUAGCUAAUACCGCAUAACGUCGCAAGACCAAAGUGGGGGACCUUCGGGCCUCAUGCCAUCAGAUGUGCCCAGAUGGGAUUAGCUAGUAGGUGGGGUAACGGCUCACCUAGGCGACGAUCCCUAGCUGGUCUGAGAGGAUGACCAGCCACACUGGAACUGAGACACGGUCCAGACUCCUACGGGAGGCAGCAGUGGGGAAUAUUGCACAAUGGGCGCAAGCCUGAUGCAGCCAUGCCGCGUGUAUGAAGAAGGCCUUCGGGUUGUAAAGUACUUUCAGCGGGGAGGAAGGCGAUAAGGUUAAUAACCUUGUCGAUUGACGUUACCCGCAGAAGAAGCACCGGCUAACUCCGUGCCAGCAGCCGCGGUAAUACGGAGGGUGCAAGCGUUAAUCGGAAUUACUGGGCGUAAAGCGCACGCAGGCGGUCUGUCAAGUCGGAUGUGAAAUCCCCGGGCUCAACCUGGGAACUGCAUUCGAAACUGGCAGGCUAGAGUCUUGUAGAGGGGGGUAGAAUUCCAGGUGUAGCGGUGAAAUGCGUAGAGAUCUGGAGGAAUACCGGUGGCGAAGGCGGCCCCCUGGACAAAGACUGACGCUCAGGUGCGAAAGCGUGGGGAGCAAACAGGAUUAGAUACCCUGGUAGUCCACGCCGUAAACGAUGUCGAUUUGGAGGUUGUGCCCUUGAGGCGUGGCUUCCGGAGCUAACGCGUUAAAUCGACCGCCUGGGGAGUACGGCCGCAAGGUUAAACUCAAAUGAAUUGACGGGGGCCCGCACAAGCGGUGGAGCAUGUGGUUUAAUUUCGAUG
rnacentral:rRNA from 2 species